GUGCUUGUUCCGGCAGCACAUAUGCGAACACUGGAACAAAGCGGAGAAGAUUAAAUGGCCCCCGAGUGCGGACGACAUGCAAAUUCGUGAAAUGUUUCAUAUUUUC